rnacentral:rRNA from 1 species
GUGGAUUAGAUACCCUGGUAGUCCACGCCCUCAACGAUGUCAACUGGGUGUUCGGGAAGCGAUUCCUGGGUACCGUAGCUAACGCGUGAAGUUGACCGCCUGGGGAGUACGGCCGCAAGGUUAAAACUCAAAGGAAUUGACGGGGACCCGCACAAGCGGUGGAUGAUGUGGAUUAAUUCGAUGCAACGCGAACAACCUUACCUACCCUUGACAUGUCCGAGAGCCCGCUGAGAGGUGGGUGUGCCCGAAAGGGAAUCGGAACACAGGUGCUGCACGGUUGUCGACAGCU